CUCUUCUCCCUCGUCUCUCUCUGCCGACAGAGUUUAGCAGGCAGAGAGAACAGGAAAAGGUGAGCGUCACGCAGCGCCCAGAUAUGGAGAGGGCAGAGGAGAGGACGGCAGCUUGGGAGAAGUCCCGGUACGCAAGAAAAUGUCCUGGCUUCUCUGUGCUGGACCAUCGGCUGUUCUGGAAGCUCUCUCUCCCCCCUGGUUGUCAGUUCCCCCAUUCCAGAUAUUUUGGAUCUACGUCCUCCAGGGCCCAGUUGUUAAAGUAAUCUGAUCGGAUUUUGGCUAUCAGAUUGGAUCAAAUGCUGGAAAUGGGUUGUUCAAAAGAAAAGAAAAGGAUUCUGAAAUUGGAUCAGAUCACCUAAUCCAAUCCUGGUUUUGAUCUGGAUCAAACUUUCAGUUUGUGUUAUUCAAAACAUUUUAGUUUUGGGAUCCCUUUGAUCCAAAAAAAUCAGGAUUAUAAUGAUCCAAAUAGAAGGGUAGAUAGAGAUAAAGUAGACAUUACCUAUCAAGCCAUUCAGAAAAAAAAAUCUCACAAACAGCUGUCAACAUCAAACAAAAUAAUGCAUUUAAUUUAAACUGUCACUUAUUACUGUACAUUAAUUACAAAGGCAGAAUCAUCAGAGGUUAACCAUUCAAAAGUAGUUUGUAACAAUUGCAUCCCUUUUGCACAUCCAGUCAGUCCCUCAUUCUGAGAUCAGCCUCUCUGAACUCGGAAUGAUCUUUAUUUUAACUAUUGGACUAUUGGACAACACAUGUUCAAAAUAUCUACAGUCUAUCUGUGAGUAAUGCAUACUUGUUUGUUUUUCUUUGAUUUGUUGUGGUACAGAUGGUCUGACUGUGGAAGGAAAUGUUUGUGUUGUUUUAUUGUGCACUUUCUCUCUCUUCAAAUUAAAGUGAGAGCACUGUAAAAUCCGGAUUUGGCAAUCCAGAAACGUUUGUAUCUGGAUCAGGGUAAUCCAAUCCAAUGUUGCUUUGACAAACUGGCACUAAAGUAAGAUGGAUUACGUGAUCCUGGAUGGCAAAACAUGUCCAAAUCCGGAUCAUUUUGUUCCAGAUUAAACUUUUCGAACAAC